UCCAGCCAAUAUGACGAGCACCUGUGGUAAACACUGGUUAAUUAGUUGCCAAACAAGUUAAAUGUACCUUCUUUCAAGGUUCACUAAACUAAAACGACCCUACAAUCAUUGACAAUGACGCAAGGCGAUGUCCAGAGUUUUUCUUCCAACUUUCGGUUUCGCUUACGUCUUUAUUAAUUAGAAAUAAAAUUAGAUGGACCAUGAUCUCUGAGAAUGGGGAAAAAUGCAAUUGAUUUGCUUGUAAUUGAUUGUCUCUCAAAUAUUUAUUAAAAAAUAUAAAUUCUAACGUAGCUAUAUAUUCUAACGGUUACGCAUUUAAGACGAAACGCUCUUCACUGGCGGAGGUAAUUUCGAACUCCCGCCAUUUUUGUCGGAAUAAUGCGCCAAAUAAACUGAAGUGUUGUUUCGUUUAUUUAAGGUAAGUUCAAGCGAAGUAAGGGGUGUAAUUCAAUUACUUUUAUAACGAUCUUUUACGCUAACAUUAUUGCUUAAAAUAAAAUAGCAACAUUUUGAAGUAAUGAGCAAAUACGUUUUGUUGUAAUACAUUUUCGCGACAAACGUACGAAAUACGUUUGUGUAGAAACACAGUUCAAUGAAUGUUUGUGACUUACGCGUACAGCUAAUACUUCAUUGUUAUAUAUUUUAACAGCUAUUAUAUUUGUUUCUUAAUGUAUGUAAGCUAAUUUUGUCUAGAAAAAGAAUCAAUUGCCAUAAAGGGUCGGCAGUGAUGCAAAAGUGGGUGGGGAAGGUCAAAAACUAAAACGUUUAAAAAGUCCAUGUUUUAUAUAGUUUUGAGGAACGAUCUUUUAGGGGUGUGAAACAUAUAUUAUUGGCAACAUGUUUUGGGGUAGUAAGGAGUUAACAAAUUUUACAAUAAAAGAUUAAUUAAUAUUUUUGAUCAAAAAAACUUUCACAUUUAUUCAAAAAAGUAUCUUGACAUUGCUUAUCACUUUGUUUUGUUUUUUUUAUGUCAAAAUGCCCCAGACUACCUAUUCAACAAUGUUGUGAGUUCUUUAUUAUAUUUUGUCAAAUAAAUAACCACUAUGCAAGCAAAUUAUAGUUUAGUGUCUGAAAUGAUGUUUCAUAUAUUUUAGCCGGCCUAAAGGAGCUAACAAAGAUAUCAUCAGUCCACAAAGGAAUCAACCAGUGAAGGAGAAAAACAUUCAAAGCUGUAAAUUGCCAAAUCCAUCACCGGACUUAAGGAGCUAACAAAGAAAUCAUCAGUCCACAAAAGAAUCAACCAGUGAAGGAGAAAAACAUUCAAAGCUGUAAAUUGCCAAAUCCAUCAGUUGGAAGAUGGAUGUCAAAGUCUCAGACAAAAGCUUCCAGAGUUAAGAAAAGAUCACUUCAACAAAAACAAGCACGAGAAGAAUGACUGCAAAAAAUAUUUUCGCAGAUGCGUUUCCUCAUCAAGUGUAUAAGGAAAACGGACCUGUCUACAGAGACUAGAUGUAAAUGUCAAGGACUGAAAUGAGCAAUUCAAUGGCUCAUUUCUAAUUGUGUUAAGUGUCAUAAAAAAUUAAAACUGUUAUAAAUGGACAUGUAGUAAUGAUGAAAUUAUCAUCCUGUUGCGAAUAACAUUUACUUAUUCAUGAACUUAGUUCAUGAAUGACAUUUUGAAAAAAUCAUGUUCAUUAACUGUCAAGUUCAUUAACUAAGUGAGAGUUCAUGAACAUGAUUUGUCCAAAUUAUCAUUCUUGAAUAGUUCAUGUUAUUCUCAAAAAGCACACGCUUGACGUCACUGACAUGGAUAUUAAUUUGAUGGACUAAAGAAGCUCCAUACAUGGAAAAUGACAAAUGCGAAUCAAUUAAUACGCUGUCUAGAAUAAAAAAUAACAACUGUAUAACUAAUUUUAUCAGUAAAUACAAAACUGUGAGCUUAGCCCGCUGAUGCCAAAAAUUAAGUCAUUAAUAACUAUGCAUUUAAACUCCAGAAUGACCUUUAUGAACCAUUAAUGUACAGGUGAUAUUUAUUGUUUCUUAAAUACAAUAACUUAUAAACUGUGUUAGUUUGAAUUUUUUAUCCAUGUUUUCAUGCACAUUGGUUAAAAGUACAUGUUUGAAAAAUAUAAUGAUAUAAUUAAAGAGAGAUAACUGUUUUACUUGCGUUUAUGCUGUAAGAGCGUAGAAGGGCAUGUGAGUGAAUUUCAUAAAGCAUGUUAGAGCAUCUUGGGUCAUUUGCUUGCUUACCCUACUGCAUUCAUACAGCAUAAAAGCAGUAAAAUGUGAGCAUUACUUAUAAUUUUAAUACAUAAUAAAAAAAAUGUUCAUUUCGGUUAAACAGUAGGAGUACUUUUAUCUUGUUCUGUGCGUGUCGCAGGCAGAAAAAGGACUUGCAGUUUACUCUAGAUUGAUCAUGGUGUUAAAGACCUUCGCCAACAGUUAUGUAUUAAAUAAUGCAAUUGAGUAUUUGUUCUUUUAGAAAUGUAACCAACAACAUAUGUUGGUAUGAAAGAAUAGCUGAUUUUGUAAUGUAUUAUAAUAUAUUUGUUUUAAAUGACUAAUCCUUAAUUAAGAAAAGUAAUCUACAUUUCAUGAUGAAAUGGAAUUGGUUGCGUAAAACUGGAGCUUACAAGAAAGUGUUUUCUAUUUUCUUGUUGACUAAUUUUUUUUCAUGAUAGUAGUUGACAUUUUUAUUUUUAAACAAGAAAGUUAUAAUGUACCUUUUGAUAUCAAAUGGUUUUCUACGACAUGUCGAGGGCUCAACGCAACACUAUUGUAACUCAUUUUUUUCAAAUUUUACAGGAGGUUGAAAAAACUUCACAUUUUUUUGUAUUAUACAUAUUUUGUAAGAUUCUUAGUAUAUUUGUCUUUGAAAGUAGAAUCAAUUUAAUAAUCCAAAUAGAAAGUUGAAGUAUAAUGUUGUGUUUUUAUUAUAUUUGAAUAAAUAUUAGUUACAAUAGUGUUGCCUCUGAAAAUGAGAAAAUAUCAUUUAAUUUUUCAACGCAACACAAUUGUAACUGAAGUUGCAAUAGUGUUGCAUUUAUCUUUUUUUACCAGUUUUCCAGUUAUAUUUACAAUUUGCAGAGCAACACAGUGAUAUUUUUUUUUUAAGUUGUGCUUACAUAUUAAUUUAAAACAUAGCUGAAAACACAUUUAAUUCCUCAUAGUUCUUUGUAGUUUUUAGCUCGACUAUUCGAAGAAUAAGGAGAGCUAUACUACUCACCCAAGCGUCGGCAUCGGCGUCACACCUUGGUUAAGGUUUUGCGUGCAAGCACACAUAGGUUAAUAUCUCAGCAACUACUUGAGGUAUUGCAUUGAGACUUUAUACAAUGGUACUCAACCAUCCAAUGUACUUAAAUAACCCAGCCCCGAUAUCACGCAAAUACUUUUAAAAGUCAAAUCUCAAUCUCUAUCUCAAUUCAUUUUACCACAUAGAAGCAUAGUAUUAUUCAAAAUCUUGCAUGUUUUCAUACUUUUUGUCAACCUAUUUUCUCAUAGAAUGUGUUAUUGAAAGAUUUUGUCAAUAUUUCAAAGAAAUCUUAUUCUAGAACAAAAUAUAUACUUGAGUAUUUGAUAAAAGGCAAUGAAUUGAACUCAAGUACAUUUUUUGGCAAUAAAAAAGUUUUCAAUUGGAAUCGAGACCAAAGGUGUGAUCAACAUAUUCAAUGAAAGAAUGCGUUUUAAAAAAAAAUGUGAAAACAUAUUCUUGUUUCCAAUAAAUUUUGUAUAAUAUGGUUAAAUGUGUUGAGAUUGAGUUUGAGAUUUGACUUAAGUAUUUUCGUGAUAUUGGGGCCAGGUUAGAUACCUCUAGUUUGCAUUUAAUGCAAAUAAUUGCCCUUUAUUAUUCGACUUACAAAAAUCUGGUUAAGGUUUUGCGUGCAAGCACACAUUGGUUAAAAUCUCAGCAAUUACUUGAGGUAUUGCAUUGAGACUCGAUACAAUGGUACUCAACCAUCCAACAUACAUUAUUAACCAGGUAUGAUAACUCUAGUUUGCAUUUAAUGCAAAUAAUUGCCCUUUAUUAUUCAACUUAGAAAUUCUGGUUAAGGUUUUGCGUGCAAGCACACAUAGGUUAAUAUCUCAGCAACUACUUGAGGUAUUGCAUUGAGACUUUAUACCAUCCA